UACGGAGGGAGCUAGCGUUGUUCGGAAUUACUGGGCGUAAAGCGCACGUAGACGGCUUUGUAAGUUAGAGGUGAAAGCCCGGGGCUCAACUCCGGAACUGCCUUUAAGACUGCAUCGCUUGAAUCCAGGAGAGGUGAGUGGAAUUCCGAGUGUAGAGGUGAAAUUCGUAGAUAUUCGGAAGAACACCAGUGGCGAAGGCGGCUCACUGGACUGGUAUUGACGCUGAGGUGCGAAAGCGUGGGGAGCAAACAGG
rnacentral:rRNA from 1 species